rnacentral:rRNA from 1 species
UACGAAGGGGGCUAGCGUUGCCCGGAAUCACUGGGCGUAAAGGGUGCGUAGGCGGGUCUUUAAGUCAGGGGUGAAAUCCUGGAGCUCAACUCCAGAACUGCCUUUGAUACUGAGGAUCUUGAGUUCGGGAGAGGUGAGUGGAACUGCGAGUGUAGAGGUGAAAUUCGUAGAUAUUCGCAAGAACACCAGUGGCGAAGGCGGCUCACUGGCCCGAUACUGACGCUGAGGCACGAAAGCGUGGGGAGCAAACAGGG